ACAAACAAAAGAGUCUUCUAUUCAAACUGCCUGAUAAUGAAGCCAGUUCAGCGGCCCCCAGCCUCCUCUGGGACCUUGGGUGAGGAAGAGAAGACAAUCCUGCAGCUUCUUGGAGUCCUGGGAGCCUUCUCACUCCAGCGGCAGUAAAGCCAUGUGGAUGGAAUGAGCCAUUGCCUCAGUGGCUGCUGCCCGCCUCUUCCUGGGACUGCCUGGCACAGCCGGUGGAUGAGGAGCAAAUCCUCUCCCCCACAGACUGUCUGAUGCUGAAGGCUCCCUGCUGUGCCUGACCCUGGCCUGGGGAAACCAAGCCGCAAAGAAGGCCUGGUGCCUCCCUCAGAAACCUCUAACUCGGGCAACCAAGUGCAAAAAGAAGCUGUGGCCUUUCCAGAAGAGGAGCUGCCACCUAGGCCACCUCCCAGGCAGAGCAGGAGGGAGCACCCUUGAAGACAGCUUUCCGAAGGAGGGGACACCUGGCUGCAUACAGGAGAGAGACCAGGCACGAGCCGAGAAACGGCAGCAAAUCGCCCUGCAAGGUGUUUCAGAAGCUAAGAGGAUUCCAGGAGAGUGGCGGCAGAAAUGGGAACACGCUUUCCUCACAUGGGCGGCCAGGCCAACCAAAUGCCACUCUGGCACUUGCAUGUGGUGAUCAUUUUGGCCGGGAGGCGGCGAUCUUGCCUGCGACAUUCUACCUUCGUGGUUUCCCCAAAGGGCAGCUGGAUGUGGCACUUGGGCCUAGUUCCCUGAAAAAGUUUCUCCCCUGAAGACUCCUUGGCAGAGCUGGUAUUUGCAACAGUGAAAGAAAGUGUCAGAAGCAAACGUGCUUUCCCUGCUUUCUCAUCACUGCUUUUA